rnacentral:rRNA from 1 species
AGCAGCCGCGGUAAUUCCAGCUCCAAUAGCGUAUAUUAAAGUUGUUGCAGUUAAAAAGCUCGUAGUUGGAUUUGUGGUUGGAGAGGUCCGCCGUUGCUAUGCUUCGUGUUGGAUCUUUCCGUCCAUCCUUGGGUGGAUCCUGUGUGGCAUUCAGUUGUCGUGCAGGGGAUGCCCAUCGUUUACUGUGAAAAAAUUAGAGUGUUCAAAGCAGGCUUACGCCUUGAAUAUAUUAGCAUGGAAUAAUAAGAUAGGACCUGGGUACUAUUUUGUUGGUUUGCGCACCGAGGUAAUGAUUAAUAGGGACAGUUGGGGGUAUUCGUAUUCCAUUGUCAGAGGUGAAAUUCUUGGAUUUUUGGAAGACGAACUACUGCGAAAGCAUUUACCAAGG